rnacentral:rRNA from 1 species
GACGAACGCUGGCGGCGUGCUUAACACAUGCAAGUCGAACGGUGAAGGGGUCUGCUUUUGUGGGCCCUGGAUGAGUGGCGAACGGGUGAGUAACACGUGAGUAACCUGCCCCCUUCUUCUGGAUAACCGCAUGAAAGUGUGGCUAAUACGGGAUAUUCUGGGUCUGUCGCAUGAUGGGUCUGGGAAAGAUUGCGCCUUUGGGUGUUUUUGGUGGGGGAUGGGCUCGCGGCCUAUCAGCUUGUUGGUGGGGUGAUGGCCUACCAAGGCGGUGACGGGUAGCCGGCCUGAGAGGGUGGACGGUCACACUGGGACUGAGACACGGCCCAGACUCCUACGGGAGGCAGCAGUGGGGAAUAUUGCACAAUGGGCGCAAGCCUGAUGCAGCGACGCCGCGUGAGGGAUGGAGGCCUUCGGGUUGUAAACCUCUUUCGCCAGUGAAGCAGGCCUGCUCCGUGUGGGUGGGUUGACGGUAGCUGGAUAAGAAGCGCCGGCUAACUACGUG